AGGGAAUCUUCGGCAAUGGACGAAAGUCUGACCGAGCAACGCCGCGUGAGUGAAGAAGGUUUUCGGAUCGUAAAACUCUGUUGGUAGAGAAGAACGUUGGUGAGAGUGGAAAGCUCAUCAAGUGACGGUAACUACCCAGAAAGGGACGGCUAACUACGUGCCAGCAGCCGCGGUAAUACGUAGGUCCCGAGCGUUGUCCGGAUUUAUUGGGCGUAAAGCGAGCGCAGGUGGUUUAUUAAGUCUGGUGUAAAAGGCAGUGGCUCAACCAUUGUAUGCAUUGGAAACUGGUAGACUUGAGUGCAGGAGAGGAG
rnacentral:rRNA from 1 species